GAUGAACGCUAGCUAUAGGCUUAACACAUGCAAGUCGAGGGGAAACGGCAUUAUGUGCUUGCACAUUUUGGACGUCGACCGGCGCACGGGUGAGUAUCGCGUAUCCAACCUGCCCUUUACUUGGGGAUACCCCGUUGAAAGACGGCCUAAUACCCGAUGUAAUUCAUUGAUGGCAUCAGAUAUGAAUAAAAGAUUUAUCGGUAAAGGAUGGGGAUGCGUCUGAUUAGCUUGUUGGUGAGGUAACGGCUCACCAAGGCGACGAUCAGUAGGGGUUCUGAGAGGAAGGUCCCCCACAUUGGAACUGAGACACGGUCCAAACUCCUACGGGAGGCAGCAGUGAGGGAUAUUGGUCAAUGGGCGCAAGCCUGAACCAGCCAAGUAGCGUGCAGGAAGACGGCCCUAUGGGUUGUAAACUGCUUUUAUACGAGAAUAAUUUGAUGCACGUGUGCGUUAUUGCAUGUAUCGUAUGAAUAAGGACCGGCUAAUUCCGUG
rnacentral:rRNA from 1 species